rnacentral:rRNA from 1 species
CGGAUUGUAGUCUGCAACUCGACUACAUGAAGCUGGAAUCGCUAGUAAUCGCGAAUCAGAAUGUCGUGGUGAAUACGUUCCCGGGUCUUGUACACACCGCCCGUCACACCAUGGGAGUCGGGAAUGCCCGAAGUCAGUGACCCAACCGGAAGGAGGGAGCUGCCGAAGGCAGGCUCGAUAACUGGGGUGAAGUCGUAACAAGGUAAC